rnacentral:rRNA from 1 species
AUUGAACGCUUGCGGCAGGCCUCACACAUUCAAGUCGACCGAGUGGCGGACGGGUGAGUAAUGUCUGGGAAACUGCCUGAUGGAGGGGGCUAACUACUGGAACCGGUAGCUAAUACCGCAUACCAUCAGAUGUGCCCAGAUGGGAUUAGCUUGUUGGUGGGGUAACGGCUCACAAAGGCGACGAUCCCUAGCUGGUCUGAGAGGAUGACCAGCAACACUGGAACGGAGAAACGGUGAAGAAUCGUACGGGAGGCAGCAGUGGGGAAUAUUGCACAAUGGGCGAAAGACGGAGGCAGCCAUGCCGCGUGUAUGAAGAAGGCAGUCGGGUUGUAAAGUACUUUCAGCGGGGAGGCGUUACCCGCAGAAGAAGCACCGGCUAACUCCGUGCCAGCAGCCGCGGUAAUUC